GGUUAAGUGAGGGAGAACUAACCAGAAACUGAGAUCAGCAGAAGCAUUCUGCAUAACUGUUCCCAGGCCUGAGUAAUAAAGACCGAUUGAGAAUUCUUCAAAGUGAUUUACAUGCAGUUCUUAGCACAGCUGUUUGCUGGGGGUGUGUGCUCUGUGUGGGGGAUCUAUCAGCAGUCUGGCUACCUCUGUGUGAUCUUGGGCCUUCUGUCUUUCUUGGUUUGUGGAGGUUGCUUUGUUUUACAAACAAAGAGAAGUGUAUACAAGAUGGGUGGAACCUUCAAAGCACCCUGUUCAGUGUGUGAGGGCUCUAGGAGAGUGUCUCUGGAGUCUGAAAAUGCCACACAAUAGGUACCUCCCCCCAUUUCUGAAGGAUAUUCCCCAUCCUCUUGAUGGAGUUUCCUAGCCCUGAGGAGUGAGGGACAUCUGGGCUGAGCCCUGGUUAUUUGUCAG
rnacentral:lncRNA from 1 species